rnacentral:rRNA from 1 species
UGAGGAAUAUUGCACAAUGGGCGCAAGCCUGAUGCAGCGACGCCGCGUGUGGGAUGAAGGGGCUACGCCUCGUAAACCACUGUAGCCCGGGACGAAAAACGCCUUAGAGGCGUUAGACGGUACCGGGAAAGUAAGGGUCGGCUAACUACGUGCCAGCAGCCGCGGUAAUGCGUAGGACCCAAGCGUUGUCCGGAUUUACUGAGUGUAAAGGGCGUGCAGGCGGUUGGCUAAGUUGGGUGUGAAAGCUCCUGGCUCAACUGGGAGAGGUCGCUCAAGCCUGGCCGGCUGGAGAGCAGGAAGGGAAGGUGGAAUUCCGGAUGUAGUGGUGAAAAGCGUAGAUAUCCGGAGGAACACCAGUGGCGAAGGCGGCCUUCUGGACUGCAUCUGACGCUCAGACGCGAAAGCUAGGGGAGCAAACG